rnacentral:rRNA from 1 species
CACGGAGUUAGCCGGUGCUUAUUCAUAUGGUACCGUCAGUUGACCUGGAAAGGCCCUUUUUCGUCCCAUAUAAAAGAAGUUUACAAUCCAGAGGACCUUCAUCCUCCACGCGGCAUGGCUGGUUCAGGCUUGCGCCCAUUGACCAAUAUUCCUUA